GGUUCAAUGGCGUAGUGGUUAUCGCAUCUGUCUUACAAUCAAGUAAAGCGUGUAGCACAGAAGGUCUCCGGUUCGAUCCCGGGUUGAAUCA